AGCUAUUCCCAGAUAUUAUUGGGAGACGUUUCUUGAAGAGUGAAUUGAAGACACAACCCAAGAACCAUCUUGGGACUAAUAUACAAGGCUUGACAGGUAAAACUGGAAGAGGUGUAAUAAAGGGACGAUUCAAGACACAAUCAAGGAAUCUCCUUGACACUGAUACAGAGCACUUCCCAAAUGCUGUUGGAAGGAGUAUGCUGAAGAGUGGUAUCAAGACACAAUCCAAGAGUCAUCCUG